ACAGAGGGUGCGAGCGUUGUCCGGAAUCACUGGGCGUAAGGGCGCGUAGGCGGUUUUUCAAGCGUGCGGUGAAAGCUCAGGGCUCAACCCUGAGUCGGCCGUGCGAACUGGAAGACUGGAGCACGGUAGAGGCACAUGGAAUUCCGGGUGUAGCGGUGGAAUGCGUAGAGAUCCGGAAGAACACCGGUGGCGAAGGCGGUGUGCUGGGCCGUUGCUGACGCUGAGGCGCGACAGCGUGGGGAGCAAACAGGA
rnacentral:rRNA from 1 species